UACAGAGGUCCCGAGCGUUGUUCGGAUUCACUGGGCGUAAAGGGUGCGUAGGUGGCGGGGUAAGUCUGAUGUGAAAUCUCCAAGCUUAACUUGGAAAUGGCAUUGGAAACUACUCUGCUCGAGGGUUGGAGGGGGGACUGGAAUACUUGGUGUAGCAGUGAAAUGCGUAGAUAUCCGGAGGAACACCGGUGGCGAAGGCGGAUCUCUGGGCCUUACCUGACGCUGAGGCGCGAAAGCUAGGGGAGCAAACAGG
rnacentral:rRNA from 1 species